rnacentral:misc_RNA from 1 species
GAAAAAGAAAUAGAGUACCAAAGACCAGGAAAAGGUUCCCCUUUGAGGGCAGAAAAAGAGUCAGGCCAGUAAAUCAAACUAUGCAAAUGAUCAUGAUAGGAUCAACAGCUUGCUAAAGAAAAUCUAGAACACAAUGAACACCAGUGCUUUAAACUCAUGGAGAAAAGAAAAGGGGGGUAAAGAGGAAGAAGUGAAACAUGUUAAGUUACAUUCUGAGUAACACAAACCUGAUCAAUUACAAACUCAAUUUU